rnacentral:lncRNA from 1 species
CUUUCCCCAUCACACUGGGAGCCAUCUGCUCCCCCUUGGGGCCUCUCCUCCCUUGGUGCCAGGGAUAGGCCAUGAGGGCAGGCCAUGAGGUUGGAGGCCUGGUUGGGGCCUGGCUCCCGUCAGUGUGGGUUGUUUGUCAUGAGGAUGUUUUGAUAACCAGCCCAGUGAUGCUCCCUAUGGUCACAGGUGAGUAGCUGGGCCUUCUCCCACCACUGCCGGUGCUGCUGGCCCAGGCUCCCAGAAUCGUAGCCUGCGAGAGCUGCCAGCAGCCUUUUGGAUCAGCUGAGCUGGGCCCUUCAUUUGCAGAGGAGGCAAUGGAGGCCAGGGGUGUCAAGUGACUUCUCCAGGGUCACAAAGCAACUCGGUGGCCCAGCUUCCCAGAGAGCCCCAUCUGAUGGCCACUGCCCUCUCUGCACCUUCGUAGGCUCCCGAACGGUCAGGUGGGGCCAGCCCCUCUCUCUCUGCUCUGCUUCUUCAGGGUGUCCUUGUUUUUCCUGAAGUGCUCUGACGACCCUUCGACAUUCACAGCAGACAACGCCAGCAGGAAUACUGGAUGAUGGCGUUUGACGGUAUUUGCGGGCUGCCAUUCCCCUGCAUAUCUGUACUGAAUGCUGGAAGCCAAGCUUGCACAUUCUAGGCAGCCAUUUGGAAGAUUCUUCUCUGCGCAUGACCAGCUGAAAAGGAAAAACCCCGAAACAUUGGCACUGUGAUUUCUCCAUGUGAACAGUUUAGUUCGCCGAGGUGGACAUGCCUCAUUCAUGCUUAUGGAGUGACCGACCAGCCUUUAGUGACACCCCCUGAAAUGUGAGUCAUCCAUGGGUCACUAGUCAUUGGAGAAGAGCCCCUUAUACAAAACUUGGAGCUCAGACCACAAACAACAACAACAAUCCAAAAAAUAAAAAAAUGAAAAAUUAGGAGCAGAGACUAAAUGGAAAGAUGGAAAUAUUAAAAUAAAAAUAUUAUUUUA